rnacentral:rRNA from 1 species
CACGGGAGACACACGGCGGGUGCUAACGUCCGUCGUGAAGAGGGAAACAACCCAGACCGCCAGCUAAGGUCCCAAAGUCAUGGUUAAGUGGGAAACGAUGUGGGAAGGCCCAGACAGCCAGGAUGUUGGCUUAGAAGCAGCCAUCAUUUAAAGAAAGCGUAAUAGCUCACUGGUCGAGUCGGCCUGCGCGGAAGAUGUAACGGGGCUAAACCAUGCACCGAAGCUGCGGCAGCGAACGUAUCACUUAAAGCGAUUCAGCGGGUUACGAUUGACGGAGCGAAGCGACGUCAAAGCGUAUACAAAGUCGAGUCGGUUUAAGGAUACGUUCGUUGGGUAGGGGAGCGUUCUGUAAGCCCGUGAAGGUGGCCUGUGAGGGUUGCUGGAGGUAUCAGAAGUGCGAAUGCUGACAUAAGUAACGAUAAAGCGGGUGAAAAGCCCGCUCGCCGGAAGACCAAGGGUUCCUGUCCAACGUUAAUCGGGGCAGGGUGAGUCGACCCCUAAGGCGAGGCCGAAAGGCGUAGUCGAUGGGAAACGGGUUAAUAUUCCCGUACUUGGUGUUACUGCGAAGGGGGGACGGAGAAGGCUAUGUUGGCCGGGCGACGGUUGUCCCGGUUUAAGCGUGUAGGUGUGUGUUCCAGGUAAAUCCGGUUCACUUUAACACUGAGGCGUGACGACGAGGCACUACGGUGCUGAAGCAACAAAUGCCCUGCUUCCAGGAAAAGCCUCUAAGCAUCAGGUAACAUCAAAUCGUACCCCAAACCGACACAGGUGGUCAGGUAGAGAAUACCAAGGCGCUUGAGAGAACUCGGGUGAAGGAACUAGGCAAAAUGGUGCCGUAACUUCGGGAGAAGGCACGCUGACACGUAGGUGAAGUGAUUUACUCAUGGAGCUGAAGUCAGUCGAAGAUACCAGCUGGCUGCAACUGUUUAUUAAAAACACAGCACUGUGCAAACACGAAAGUGGACGUAUACGGUGUGACGCCUGCCCGGUGCCGGAAGGUUAAUUGAUGGGGUCAGCGUAAGCGAAGCUCCUGAUCGAAGCCCCGGUAAACGGCGGCCGUAACUAUAACGGUCCUAAGGUAGCGAAAUUCCUUGUCGGGUAAGUUCCGACCUGCACGAAUGGCGUAAUGAUGGCCAGGCUGUCUCCACCCGAGACUCAGUGAAAUUGAACUCGCUGUGAAGAUGCAGUGUACCCGCGGCAAGACGGAAAGACCCCGUGAACCUUUACUAUAGCUUGACACUGAACAUUGAGCCUUGAUGUGUAGGAU